GUGAGGAAUAUUGGUCAAUGGGCGGGAGCCUGAACCAGCCAAGUCGCGUGAAGGAAGAAGGAUCUAUGGUUCGUAAACUUCUUUUGCAGGGGAAUAAAGUGCAGGACGUGUCCUGUUUUGUAUGUACCCUGAGAAUAAGGAUCGGCUAACUCCGUGCCAGCAGCCGCGGUAAUACGGAGGAUCCGAGCGUUGUCCGGAUUUAUUGGGUUUAAAGGGUGCGUAGGUGGUUUGAUAAGUCAGCGGUGAAAGUUUGCAGCUUAACUGUAAAAAUGCCGUUGAAACUGUCGGACUUGAGUGUAAAUGAGGUAGGCGGAAUGCGUGGUGUAGCGGUGAAAUGCAUAGAUAUCACGCAGAACUCCGAUUGCGAAGGCAGCUUACUAAGCUACAACUGACACUGAAGCACGAAAGCGUGGGGAUCAAACAGGAUUAGAUACCCUGGUAGUCC
rnacentral:rRNA from 1 species